ACAAUGGCAGGUACAGCGGGAAGCCAGGCGGCGACGCCGAGCGGAACCCGAAAACCUGUCUCAGUUCGGAUCGGAGUCUGCAACCCGACUCCGUGAAGCUGGAUUCGCUAGUAAUCGCGCAUCAGCCAUGGCGCGGUGAAUACGUUCCCGGGCCUUGUACACACCGCCCGUUAAGCCAUGGAAGCCGGGGGUGCCUGAAGUGUGCAGCCGCAAGGAGCGCCCUAAGGUAAAACCGGUGACUGGGGCUAAGUCGUAACAAGGUACC
rnacentral:rRNA from 1 species